GUGGUCCUGACGGAAAAGUAGUAUCAACAAGAACCCUCCACUUUUUCGACCAAGUUAUCGUCAUGAGAUCCUUCUGAUGGCUUCUUACUAGGCUAUGCCGCUCCGAAGCAUUGAGAUGACGAAGCGUCGUGGUAGCUGCACCUCUGCCUUCGAAAGAUGAAUCAGUCAUUCCACACUGUGCUUACUGGCUUUGUGUAGAGUCUGGCAAAUCCGACAGACUUGGACUGCCUUUUUCAAGAAAGUUUGAAAUAGCAUCCCUUAUGCACCUGCAUUUCAAUUCCAAUCUGUAUUACAAGAAUGACAGACCACUCAACAGAGAUGAACAUCUGAAAGUGAAAGAGCUGGAAUGAAGAUACGUUAAUCUGUGUCAAAGGUUCUUAGUAUGUGUGCGAGUCAAGAACAUAGGUCUCAAGCUUAUUCCUGUCUUCAGAAGAGGUGACAACUAUGCUCCUUCUAUCUAUUAACCAGCUCCACUUUUUAGGGUUCCCUGUAAACUAAUGGAGCACAUCAUGUACUACCACGUUGUCAACUAAGUUGACUCUGUCAAUUUCUUUUUUUAAAUUCCAGCAUGGCUUUAGAAAAGGGUA